GAACUUAAGCAUAUCAAUAAGCGGAGGAAAAGAAACCAACUGGGAUUGCCUCAGUAACGGCGAGUGAAGCGGCAUCAGCUCAGAUUUGAAAUCUGGUUCUUUCAGAGCCCGAGUUGUAAUCUGUAGAGGAGUCUUCGGGUUUGGAUCUGGCCUAAGUUUCUUGGAACAGAACGUCAUAGAGGGUGAGAGUCCCGUAUGAGGCCAGCUACCUAUUCCCAUGUGAAGCUUCUUCGACGAGUCGAGUUGUUUGGGAAUGCAGCUCAAAAUGGGUGGUAAACUUCAUCUAAAGCUAAAUAUUGGCGGGAGACCGAUAGCGCACAAGUAGAGUGAUCGAAAGAUGAAAAGCACUUUGAAAAGAGAGUUAAAAGGUACGUGAAAUUGUUGAAAGGGAAACGCUUGCGAUUAGACUUGCGCUCAGGUGAUCAACCGGUGUUCUCACCGGUGCACUCUCCUGCUUGCAGGCCAGCAUCGGUUUGGGCGGUUGGAUAAAGGCCCUAGGAAUGUAGCUGCCCUCGGGCAGUGUUAUAGCCUAGGGUGUAAUGCAGCCAGCCUGGACCGAGGACCGCGCUUCGGCUAGGAUGCUGGCAUAAUGGUCGUAAGCGACCCGUCUUGAAACACGGACCAAGGAGUCUAACAUCUAUGCGAGUGUUUGGGUGGAAAACCCAAGCGCGUAAUGAAAGUGAACGUAGGUGAGAACCCCUAAGGGUGCAUCAUCGACCGAUCUUGAUGUCUUCGGAUGGAUUUGAGUAAGAGCAUAGCUGUUGGGACCCGAAA
rnacentral:rRNA from 1 species